rnacentral:rRNA from 1 species
CCUACGGGAGGCAGCAGUGAGGAAUAUUGGUCACUGGACGAGAGUCUGAACCAGCCAAGUAGCGUGAAGGAUGACUGCCCUAUGGUUUGUAAACUUCUUUUAUAAAGGAAUAAAACGAGGCACGUGUGCCUUUUUGCAUGGACUUUAUUACUAAGGAUCGGCUAACUCCGUGCCAGCAGCCGCGGUACUACGGAGGCGCCGAGCGUUAUCCGGAUUUAUUGGGUUUAAAGGGAGCGUAGAUGGGUUGUUAAGUCAGUUGUGAAAGUUUGCGGCUCAACCGUAAAAUUGCAAUUGAGACUGGCAGUUGUGAGUACAGUUGAGGUAGGCGGAAUUCGUGGUGUAGCGGUGAAAUGCUUAGAUAUCACGAAGAACCCCGAUUGCGAAGGCAGCUUACUAAACUGUGACUGACAUUGAUGCUCGAAAGUGUGGGUAUCAAACAGGAGUAGAGACCCUUGUAGUC